rnacentral:hammerhead_ribozyme from 1 species
AUCCAGCUGACGAGUUUCAAAUAAGAUGAAACUCUCGUCCUGAAU